UACGUAGGGGGCAAGCGUUGUCCGGAUUUAUUGGGCGUAAAGAGCGUGUAGGCGGCCUGAAAGGUCAGCUGUGAAAACUCGAGGCUCAACCUCGAGACGUCGGUUGAAACCAUCUGGCUAGAGUCCGGAAGAGGAGUGUGGAAUUCCCGGUGUAGCGGUGAAAUGCGCAGAUAUCGGGAAGAACACCCGUGGCGAAGGCGGUUCUCUGGGCCUUACCUGACGCUGAGGAGCGAAAGCGUGGGGAGCGAACAGG
rnacentral:rRNA from 1 species